AGAGUUUGAUCCUGGCUCAGGACGAACGCUGGCGGCGUGCCUAACACAUGCAAGUCGAACGGAACUGUUUUGAAAGAUUUCUUCGGAAUGAAUUUGAUUUAGUUUAGUGGCGGACGGGUGAGUAACGCGUGAGUAACCUGCCUUCAAGAGGGGGAUAACAUUCUGAAAAGAAUGCUAAUACCGCAUGACAUAUCGGAACCACAUGGUUUUGAUAUCAAAGAUUUUAUCGCUUGAAGAUGGACUCGCGUCCGAUUAGUUAGUUGGUGAGGUAACGGCUCACCAAGACCGCGAUCGGUAGCCGGACUGAGAGGUUGAACGGCCACAUUGGGACUGAGACACGGCCCAGACUCCUACGGGAGGCAGCAGUGGGGGAUAUUGCGCAAUGGGGGCAACCCUGACACAGCAACGCCGCGUGAAGGAUGAAGGUUUUCGGAUUGUAAACUUCUUUUAUUAAGGACGAAAAAUGACGGUACUUAAUGAAUAAGCUCCGGCUAACUACGUGCCAGCAGCCGCGGUAAUACGUAGGGAGCAAGCGUUGUCCGGAUUUACUGGGUGUAAAGGGUGCGUAGGCGGCUUUGCAAGUCAGAUGUGAAAUCUAUGGGCUCAACCCAUAAACUGCAUUUGAAACUGUAGAGCUUGAGUGAAGUAGAGGCAGGCGGAAUUCCCCGUGUAGCGGUGAAAUGCGUAGAGAUGGGGAGGAACACCAGUGGCGAAGGCGGCCUGCUGGGCUUUAACUGACGCUGAGGCACGAAAGCGUGGGUAGCAAACAGGAUUAGAUACCCUGGUAGUCCACGCUGUAAACGAUGAUUACUAGGUGUGGGGGGUCU
rnacentral:rRNA from 1 species